GAGUAUCGACGACCUCGAUGGAGGGGUUGGGGCCGCCAAUCGGCUACCCCGACCCCUCCACCGAGGUCGCCGAAGUCC
rnacentral:pre_miRNA from 1 species